rnacentral:rRNA from 1 species
GCAGUCGAACGCGAAAGUUCCCNUCGGGGAGCGAGUAGAGUGGCGCACGGCCCNUUNUAANACGUAGGUAAUUUGCCUUUGGGUGGGGAAUACCCCCNUNUAAAACGGUUGUUAAUACCGCAUAAUGCAGCGGCAUCACAUGAUGACAGUUGUUAAAGCGGGGGAUUGGAGCAAUCCGACCUCGCGCCUGAAGAGAAGCCUGCGGCAGAUUAGGUAGUUGGUGAGGUAAUGGCUCACCAAGCCUGCGAUCUGUAACCGGCCUGAGAGGGCGGUCGGUCACACUGACACUGACAUACGGGUCAGACUCCUACGGGAGGCAGCAGUCGGGAAUUUUGGGCAAUGGGCGAAAGCCUGACCCAGCAACGCCGCGUGAAGGAUGAAAUUUUUCGGAAUGUAAACUUCGCAAGAAUGGGAAGAAUAAGUAGAAGCAAAUACCUUCUAUGAUGACGGNACUGNUUGUAAGCUCCGGCUAACUCCGUGCCAGCAGCCGCGGUAAUACNGGGGGAGCAAGCGUUGUUCGGANUUACUGGGCGUANAGGGCGCGUAGGCGGUCGUGACAAGUCAGUUGUGAAACUCAGGGCUNAACUCUGAACGGUCAACUGAUACCUGUCGGACUANAGUGCACAAAGGGGCAACUGGANUNCUCNGNGUAGCNNUGAAANGCGUAGAUAUC